AUUGAACGCUGGCGGCAUGCCUAACACAUGCAAGUCGAACGGCAGCGCGGGGAGCUUGCUCCCUGGCGGCGAGUGGCGGACGGGUGAGUAACGCGUAGGAAUCUACCUAGUAGUGGGGGACAACUCGGGGAAACUCGAGCUAAUACCGCAUAAUCUCUACGGAGCAAAGCGGGGGAUCUUCGGACCUCGCGCUAUUAGAUGAGCCUGCGUCGGAUUAGCUUGUUGGUGGGGUAAAGGCCUACCAAGGCAACGAUCCGUAGCUGGUCUGAGAGGAUGAUCAGCCACACUGGGACUGAGACACGGCCCAGACUCCUACGGGAGGCAGCAGUGGGGAAUAUUGGACAAUGGGCGAAAGCCUGAUCCAGCAAUGCCGCGUGUGUGAAGAAGGCCUUCGGGUUGUAAAGCACUUUCAGCGGGGAAGAAAUGCCUAAAAUUAAUACUUUUGGGAGUUGACGUUACCCGCAGAAGAAGCACUGGCUAACUCUGUG
rnacentral:rRNA from 1 species